GGGCAAGUCUCAUGCGACCAGCUCCUGUGAACUCCCCCAGGUCGGGAACGAAGCAAGGGUAAGCGGUUGUAGCGGUUCGGCAUGAGGAGCUUGCCCGAU
rnacentral:SRP_RNA from 1 species